AAUCCUUAGCGCGAAGCGGAAAUCAGCUUCUGAGGACCCUGGGGUUCCUAGGGAAGCUUCUUCGAGACUCCUCCGCGGCUGGUUCUCCAAGGAGGAUGGCGGCCGAGCCGCCUAUGCCGCUUCCGCGAGGCGGUCCAACCUCCGCUUCGCUCUCCCCGCCCCGGGGUGACCGCACGCUCCUCGUCAGGCACCUGCCGGCCGAGCUGACGGCGGAGGAGAAGGAGGACCUGCUGAAGUAUUUCGGGGCGCAGUCGGUGCGAGUGCUGUCCGACAAGGGGCGUCUGAAACAUACAGCAUUUGCUACUUUCCCUAAUGAAAAAGCAGCAAUAAAGGCAUUGACAAGACUCCAUCAGCUGAAACUUCUAGGUCAUACUUUAGUUGUUGAAUUUGCAAAAGAACAAGAACGAGUUCAUUCCCCGUGUCCCACAUCAAGUACUGAAAAAAAGAAAAGGUCUGAUGACGUUGUAGAAGAUGAUAAAGAGAAGAAAGAACCAGAUAUUUUAACACUAGAAAAUGGAAUCGCACCAAACCAUGGGCUGACUUUUCCUCUAAAUUCAUGCCUCAAAUAUAUGUACCCACCACCUUCAAGCACAAUCCUAGCAAAUAUAGUAAAUGCUUUGGCAAGUGUGCCCAGAUUCUAUGUACAGGUGCUACAUCUUAUGAAUAAAAUGAAUUUGCCUACACCAUUUGGACCAAUUACUGCACGACCUCCAAUGUAUGAGGACUACAUGCCUCUCCAUGCACCUCUUCCACCUACAUCUCCUCAACCACCUGAGGAACCUCCCUUACCAGAUGAGGAUGAAGAAUUAUCUAGUAAAGAAUCAGAAUAUGAAAGUAGUGAUGAGGAGGACCGACAGAGAAUGACCAAACUAAUGGAACUAGCAAAACUUCAGCCCAAAAGACCCAAAAGAGUGAAGCCUCGCCAAGUGAGGAAAAAGCAAAAAAUAAAGGAUAUGCUGAACGUACCUUCAUCUGCUUCACACAGCAAUUUGCAUCCUGUGCUGUUACCUUCAGAUGUAUUUGACCAACCACAAUCUGUAAGUAAUAAAAGAAUUGAAUUCCAUAUAUCUGCCAACAUGCCAGCAGCAUUGAAGAAAGAUUCAGAAAGGGAACAAAAUUAUGAGGAAAAGAAUUCUGAUUCACUAGCCACUGAAGUUGAUGCUUCAAAUACAGGAUUUGGAAAGAUCUUCCCUAAACCUAAUUUGAACAUCACAGAAGAAAUUAAAGAAGAUUCUGAUGAUAUGCCCUCAGAAUGUAUUUCUAGAAGGGAGUUGGAAAAGGGUCGAAUUUCUAGAGAAGAAAUGGAAACACUUUCAGUUUUUAGAAGUUACGAACCUGGUGAACCAAAUUGUAGAAUUUAUGUAAAGAAUUUAGCUAGACAAGUUCAAGAAAAGGACCUUAAAUUUAUCUUUGGAAGAUACGUUGACUUUUCAUCAGAAACACAGCGGAUCAUGUUUGAUAUACGUUUGAUGAAAGAAGGCCGCAUGAAAGGACAAGCUUUCAUUGGACUUCCAAAUGAAAAAGCAGCAGCAAAAGCCCUAAAGGAAGCUAAUGGCUAUGUUCUUUAUGGAAAACCUAUGGUGGUUCAAUUUGCUCGAUCUGCUAGACCGAAACAAGAUUCUAAAGAAGGAAAAAGAAAGUGAUAAGAAUGAGUAAAGAAGCAUUCCUGCGUAAAUACUGCUGUAAUACUGUCAGACAAAGUGUAUCCUUUCUUGUAUCCUUUUUGGGGCACUGGUUUUAUUUUGUUUUGUUUCUUUUUGUUUUAUUUUGUUCUAGUAAUGCUUAGUCCAUCUUCUACCUUUGAUCCAGAUUAAGCAGUAUUUUUAUACUUUAUUCAAAUAUUUCUCAAAUUAUUUUUGUAGCCCAAACAACUGUUAUAUGUGUAUUUCAGAGUCAUUGUUGAAUAGUCUAUGCUACAAUAUAGAUCAAAUAGUUUUCUCAGGGAAAGUUAGUGAAUCAGGUCACUUUAGUGUAUAAAUUUGCUUUACCACAAGAUAAUAGUCUGUUUCUUCUCUAUGUGUAUUUUCUAAUCCUAAUUAACAUGCUUUCUAUUUGAUGAUAUUUCCUGUUUAGAUGUUGUCCUAGUUUCAUUUGCUGUUGGAAACAACCUAACAUAAAGCAACAUAGGGAAGAAAGGGUAUUUUAGCUUCAAUACCAGCUUGUAAGUCCAUUACUGCAGGGAGUUCAGGGCAGUGAUUUAAAGCAUCAGAUCCACAGUCUCAAGAGGAGAGAGGAAAUAAACCCAUGGCUCCUUGCUAGCUUGCUCUCAGCAGCUUCCUCUCAAUCUGUUGAGGACUCCCUGCCCAAGGAACAGUGCUGCCCACAGUUCUCCAGGUCUUCAUCUUUUAACAGUUAAGAAAGUCCCCCACAGAUAUGCCCACGGGUUCCUUCUGAAUUCCGUAUCUUUCAAGUACUAUCAUUGUUUGAGAAGAAGAAAUUGAUCAUCUGGACUACAGAUCUGUUUGUAACAAGUUUGAAAGAGUAUUCAGAAAUUAUAUAUCUUCAAGUUAGCUUUUGGUGGGAUAUAUGUUUUAAUGAUCUAUUGAGUAUAUAAUAAAUUAUUUUCAUCUC